AACGAACGCUGGCGGCAGGCUUAACACAUGCAAGUCGAACGCCCCGCAAGGGGAGUGGCGCACGGGUGAGUAACGCGUGGGAAUAUGCCCUUUAGUGCGGAACAACGUCGGGAAACUGACGCUAAUACCGCAUAAUGUCUACGGACCAAAGAUUUAUCGCUAAAGGAGUAGCCCGCGUCUGAUUGGGUAGUUGGUGAGGU
rnacentral:rRNA from 1 species